UACGUAGGUCGCAAGCGUUGUCCGGAUUUACUGGGCGUAAAGGGCUCGUAGGCGGCCAACUAAGUCGGACGUGAAAUCCCCAGGCUCAACCUGGGAACUGCGUCCGAUACUGGAUGGCUUGAAUCCGGGAGAGGGAUGCAGAAUUCCAGGUGUAGCGGUGAAAUGCGUAGAUAUCUGGAGGAAUACCGGUGGCGAAGGCGGCAUCCUGGACCGGCAUUGACGCUGAGGAGCGAAAGCCAGGGGAGCAAACGGG
rnacentral:rRNA from 1 species